AACCAAUACUUUUCUUAGAGUCUCUCAUCAUAUUUCUGGCAUGUACAAAUUCUCUAUUAUUAUUGUUAUUGUUGUUGUUGUUAUUGCUAUUGUUGUUGUUGUUGGUAUUGUGGACGUCGUUGACGUUGUUGCCUAGUUAUUGUUGUUGUUAUUAUGGUUUUUGAGACUUAUACGGUUCAUUUUUGUUGGUUGUGUACUAUUUU
rnacentral:lncRNA from 1 species